rnacentral:misc_RNA from 1 species
UCACUACUUGCGUAGGCAGUCUGGCUAGAGUCCCCACCAUAACGUGCUGGUAACUAACCACAGGGGUUGCGCUCGUUGCGCCACUUAAGGCAACACCUCACGGUACGAGCUGACGACAGCCAUGCAGCACCUUCCCGGCUGCCCCGAAGGGAAGGCCCGUUUCGGGGCCGGUCAGCCGGGAUUUAGCCCGGGUAAGGUUCUUCGCGUUGCAUCGAAUUAAGCCACAUGCUCCGCCGCUUGUGCGGGCCCCCGUCAAUUCCUUUGAGUUUUAGCCUUGCGGCCGUACUCCCCAGGCGGGGUGCUUAAUGCGUUAGCGUCGGCACGGAGGAAGGUGGGGAUGACGUAUGCG